AUCUACUAUUCUCCGGUUGAGAAACAAAGUCAGUAAAACAAAACAAAAAAUGCGUGCAUUUUCGCUAAUCGCAGCUUGUCUUGCGCUGGUCUCCAUCCUGUUUGGAAACGUUCACGCUACCGAGAGUGGAGCUCCGAAGAAGUUGGCACCACGUUCUGCUCCAUUGGCAUAUUGGUAAAGACAAUAUGAAAAAGUGUUGUGAACCGGUUACGUAAGCGUAAAAAGAGUUUUACAAAAAAAGACAAGUCGUAACAUAUUCGAUGUUGAAAUAAAAUAAAAAAGUGGUUUCA